rnacentral:tRNA from 1 species
UGGAACAGAAGGUUAAUGAGUUUGGCUGCUAUCCAUAAGGUUGGUGGUUCAAGUCCACCCA